AAUGAAGUGCCUGAAAAAAGGAAUAUCUUGAUAGGAUAUACAAUGUAAAAAACUUUACCUUCAUUA
rnacentral:tRNA from 1 species